ACUAUCUAGAUCUACUCUAGUUUAGAGAAGAGAGGAGAGCUCUCAUCUCUAAGCCCUAGCUUUUGCUCUGUCUAUGAAUAAUGAAUAAUGAUCAAGGGGUGUCUCCUCCAGGGGCCAGGGGGUCUGGUUUUAUAGUCCCCUCAAGUGAACCUGGGCCAUCGGAUCAAACCGACAUUGAUUGAACGGUUAUUCUUGAUCCUUUAGGUCGGUGGAGCAUAAUCCGUGAGAUUGAUCAUGAUUGGCUACAGGAGGUGGGCGGGCGCCCAGUAGGACAGGGCGGGCGCCCUGUCUCUGGCCCCGUUUCGCCUCCGCUUCAGUCUCGUGGCUUCUGGAGUCUUCUAGUUGUAAGAGAAUUAUGCAGCAUGUUAAUAUAUUUACGUAAUCCCAACAUGUGGGCCUUUCUUCCAUAUUUCCUGAUAACCCCCUGCAGAAAUAGACAAACACCAAAACUCGUGGAAUUCUGUCAGAUAAAUCCCUAAGUCUAGAUGUUGAUUUCAUUUGGAUCCUUUUCUUUAUUUAUUUGAUAAUUAAAUUUGAUACUUAAGGACCGUCAACAAACUUCCCCAAGCUUACCUCUUGCUCGUCCCUGAGCAAGGAUAGACUCAGCUAUGGAUCAUAAGUUGUUGCAAUAUCUUUAAAAAUUGACGGUACACAUGCUUUUAAAUGAGGUCUCAUCUCUAAGUUAGAGUAAACUGUCAAGACUUAAAACUUACUUACUUUACCUUUCACCAUGGGACUUGUAACCGUCACUUCUGUCUUGAGUGGUUAAAAGAUAGAACAGUCCCGUCAAGUGCCAUGUCUCUUAUUCUUGAUCAGCUAUAGCUCUAGAGUUUUUGCAGAUUUUCAAAUAAAACUCAGAGAUUCCUUGUAUGACUCUCUAAAUCUCUCUUUUGUGGUAUUUCUAGAUCCUUACCAAGGCAGUGAUGGUAUAUGCCUUCUCUCAAGAUAUGUGUUAUUUGUGGUAUAAGGCAUAGUGACAUUGCCUUCUCUCUCACCCUACUCUAAUAAGGCUUUAAUAUCUGGAGCUCAUAGGUGGGAGAUAAAAUAUACAUACUUACAAGACAUUAAUUGUAUAGUCAAACCAUGGAUCCAAAGAAACAAAUCAAUAAGCCAAAUCAAGAUGUGCAUGUGUGGCGAAUGAAUGGUGUAUAGUGAUGAUGGUGAUAACAAUGGUGAAAGUCUAAUUCUACUUUUGCUCUUAUGAGGGGAUACAUACCUUCCUUGCUUUUUGAAACUUUAUGAGGAGAAUGAGAUGCUCUUCUUUUUCUUUCCUCUCAGGUGGGUAUCCUGUACCCCUAAUUCUACUGUCGGACACUUGUCCAUUUUUACCUCUCGUCUCACUCUUUUUCUUUUCUUUCGAGGUUCCGGGCACUUGCCCCUUUUUAUUUCCUCGUUUAUUUUUUUUUCUUUUCUCUUUUUUUUCUUCUUUUUUUUCAGAGCACUUAUCUCUUAAGAUAAUAUAGCAAGUGGUAAUAGGAAGAUAACUUGAGCAUUUAUUUCACAAGGGAAAAACACAGAUGUUUUUGGCUAUUCUCUCCCGAAUUAGGAGUAGAAUAUUUUUAGGUGAUUCUGGAGAUGGAAAUGGAUGGAUAUAUGUGGAUGGUACUUCCGGAGUAGAAGUAGCAUAUAUAUGAGUGAACGUGCAAGUGAAUCUUGAUUUAACCACAUGACAAGCUCCUAAGGGUCUACACAGCUUGACCACACUCAAUGCUCAUAAGCAGUAAAUAAAUGUGUGGCUCAAAGUCUAGCAAGCAUGUAUAUAUGGCUGUGGUAGGAAUUUAAACUUUCAUCAUACAGGAACUCAUCAUGCAAUAUUUUAAAGAUUUUUCAAAGAUAAAAUUCUCCAGAAUUCUAGCAUCUCUAGGAAUAGAUAAACAGCAGCUCAACCUUCCCAUAUCAUAUCCGUUAACAACUUAGAUUUCAGAUCAAGUUUUCAUCCCACAAAUUUAGAUCUAGAGCAAGCUUUAAAUUAUAACAGUUAUGUCUAAACUUGAGAGAGAAUUUCAAAUUUGCAAAUUAGGCAGAGCAACUAUUCAUCAUAUCCAUGCUAGAGUUUUAUUAUUAAGAUUCAGAUUAGCAUAGCCACUUUAUUUAUUUAUUAAACACACUAAGCAAAAGAUAUAUAUAUAAGCACAAAAUCUUUAUUUGGUUUUUCAUAGUUUAUGUAUUUUAAUAUUAUAAUAUAAGUAUAAAGAUAGGUAGAAAUACUUAGCGAGAUAAAUGGGGGUGCUCUCCCCCAAGCUGAAUUUUGACGUAAUUUCUCUUGAUGUAGCUAGCAGGUGGCAGAGGUGUAUUUGAAAGUCAGCAGCAUUCUGACAGCGAUUAGAAUGUCCUCCGUCUGCUAGUCUUCUUGAUUCUUAAAUUCUGUGGAGCUCAAAUAGACAACAAAGCUUGUGGAACUAAUUAAGUGUUAGCAUAAAUAUCUAGCCUUCAUCACGUUGAGCUUCCUCAAUAAAUAUUACUCCCUGUUUUUAUAUUUUUAUUUUAUAAAGUAGAAAAAAAAUAUUUAUUUUAUCUUUAUGCCACCACAGUGAAGGUACUUAUGGGUUUUAUGCCACUCGUAUACUCACAUGGGGCUUAGUAUUUUUUUAACAUUUUUAUUUUCUUUUCAAAAUAGCAUGAUUAACUAAUAAUCUAUUUAAGGCAAGUAAAUAAUUAAAGGGAAAAGGGAAUGCAGAAAGGAUAAAUAUGGAUGACUACCAAUCUUACCUUUCGGCGAGGGUUCAAUGUUUUAAGUCUUCUUGACAAGACUUCUCACCGUGUUCAUUCUUCAGGUGCGUCAUUUGAUUCAGGUGCGGACCAUGACGUCUGCACCUUUUAAUACGGUGUCACCCAUGUUCUUCGUUUGCCCAGCAGUCCGAAGUGCGGGUUAGCAGUAUCUUGCUUAGUGUGUUUGUGCUCGUAGUGUACCUGCUCAUAGAGACAAGGCAGAGAUCAAGUGCAUGGGCCCUGUUGGUGGAAAACACCAACAGAACCAAAAGUGUAUUUGUUCUUCUCUAACCUUAAGCAUAGUGAGCUAGACAAAGUUGAUGGAUGAUAAGUUCAUGAGUGUAGCACUUAUAACAUUUGUCAGAUCAGAUCGCUCAACCUUAUGGAAAGAUAAUCUAUUUAUGUAUAUGUCUUUUUCUUUAUAUCUCUCAAUGAUUGAAUGUGUAACAUUUUAGCUCAUAUGAUUAGGAGUGUGGGAUCAUGGAGGUAGUACUAAGAACAAGGAUUAAAGGACUAAACAUGUUUGAUCAGUUGGGUUGGUUAAUCUAGAGUUGUAAAUCAUACACGUUUGUCUCUUUUAUUUAUAUGAACGCCAGAACCAAGGAGAAGCUUAUAAAAGUGAUAGUCAAGUACCUUAAGAUGUUACCUUGCUUGAAGAGUGAUGGUACAGUAUCAUCUUGUGGAAGCUUUCCUUUCUUAGCGGUUGUGCAUCGUGUUUGUGGCA
rnacentral:lncRNA from 1 species